CCUACGGGAGGCAGCAGUGAGGAAUAUUGGUCAAUGGGGGGAACCCUGAUGCAGCGACGCCGCGUGUGGGAAGACGGUCCUCUGGAUUGUAAACCACUGUCCCCAGGGACGAAAAUGACGGUACCUGGGGAGGAAGCUCCGGCUAACUACGUGCCAGCAGCCGCGGUAAUACGUAGGGAGCGAGCGUUGUCCGGAAUUACUGGGUGUAAAGGGAGCGUAGGCGGGGAUGAAAGUUGGGUGUCAAAACUACCGGCUCAACUGGUAGUCGCACUCAAAACUGCAGCUCUUGAGUGAAGUAGAGGCAGGCGGAAUUCCUAGUGUAGCGGUGAAAUGCGUAGAUAUUAGGAGGAACACCAGUGGCGAAGGCGGCCUGCUGGGCUUUUACUGACGCUGAGGCUCGAAAGUGUGGGGAGCAAACAGGAUUAGAUACCCCGGUAGUC
rnacentral:rRNA from 1 species